rnacentral:tRNA from 1 species
GGGGCUGUAGCUCAGUGGUAGAGUGCUUGCCUAGCAUGCAUGAGGACUUGGGUUCCAUCCCUAGUACUCUUA